UACGAAGGGGGCUAGCGUUGCUCGGAAUCACUGGGCGUAAAGGGUGCGUAGGCGGGUUUUUAAGUCAGGGGUGAAAUCCUGGAGCUCAACUCCAGAACUGCCUUUGAUACUGAAGAUCUUGAGUCCGGGAGAGGUGAGUGGAACUGCGAGUGUAGAGGUGAAAUUCGUAGAGAUUGGGAAGAACACCAGUGGCGAAGGCGGCUAUCUGGACGGUUUCUGACACUAAGACUCGAAAGCGUGGGGAGCAAACAGG
rnacentral:rRNA from 1 species